GAGACUGUAUCAUCUCAGCAUAUCAGAAACACAUCAUGACUCUCAGAACUCAGGAACCGAUGGACACUGAAGGAUCGGAGGAGGACUCAAACUAAAGAUGUUACCAUGGAAACAGGAUCAGCACCAGCUUCACCCUCUCCAUGGAGACCAUCUUAAAUGUUUUCAUUUUAGACUAGCACUAAAAUAACGAUGAUUCUUUAUGUAAUAUAUUCUCUUUGAGCAUUUGCUUUACGGUCAAUUAAAAGUUAAAUUUAAGUCAAAAUA